GGGUACCGUCAGGCCUAACGUGUAUUAUACGUUAGGAGGUUCUUCCCCUCUGACAGAGCUUUACGACCCAAGAGCCUUCAUCACUCACGCGGUAUUGCUGCGUCAGGCUUUCGCCCAUUGCGCAAAAAUUCCC
rnacentral:rRNA from 1 species